UACAUGGGGUGCAAACGUUGCUCGGAAUUAUUGGGCGUAAAGCGCGCGUAGGCGGUUACUCAAGUUAGCUGUGAAAGUCCUGGGCUUAACCUGGGAAGGUCAGCUAAAACUGUUUUGACUAUAGAGUAUGGGAGAGGGUAGUGGAAUUUCCGGUGUAGCGGUGAAAUGCGUAGAGAUCGGAAGGAACACCAGUGGCGAAGGCGACUACCUGGCCUAGUACUGACACUGAGGCACGAAAGCGUGGGGAGCAAACAGG
rnacentral:rRNA from 1 species